rnacentral:rRNA from 1 species
UACGAAGGGGGCUAGCGUUGCUCGGAAUCACUGGGCGUAAAGCGCACGUAGGCGGAUUGUUAAGUCAGGGGGUGAAAUCCUGGAGCUCAACUCCAGAACUGCCUUUGAUACUGGCGAUCUCGAGUCCGGGAGAGGUGAGUGGAACUGCGAGUGUAGAGGUGAAAUUCGUAGAUAUUCGCAAGAACACCAGUGGCGAAGGCGGCUCACUGGCCCGGUACUGACGCUGAGGUGCGAAAGCGUGGGGAGCAACAGG